rnacentral:rRNA from 1 species
GACGAACGCUGGCGGCGUGCUUAACACAUGCAAGUCGAACGGAAAGGCCCUGCUUUGGUGGGGUGCUCGAGUGGCGAACGGGUGAGUAACACGUGAGUAACCUGCCCUUGACUUUGGGAUAACUUCAGGAAACUGGGGCUAAUACCGGAUAGGAGCGCCUGCUGCAUGGUGGGGGUUGGAAAGUUUCGGCGGGUGGGGAUGGACGCGCGGCUUAUCAGCUUGUUGGUGGGGUAGUGGCUUACCAAGGCUUUGACGGGUAGCCGGCCUGAGAGGGUGAACGGCCACAUUGGGACUGAGAUACGGCCCAGACUCCUACGGGAGGCAGCAGUGGGGAAUAUUGCACAAUGGGCGGAAGCCUGAUGCAGCAACGCCGCGUGCGGGAUGACGGCCUUCGGGUUGUAAACCGCUUUCGCCUGUGACGAAGCGUGAGUGACGGUAAUGGGUGAAGAAGCACCGGCUAACUACGUG